ensembl:snoRNA
GUUGAGGUCUGUCCCAAUGGGGUUUUUCCUGUAGCCUGCAUGUCGUUGGAAACGCCUCAUAGAGUAACUCUGUGGUUUUACUUUAUCACAGGACCAUUGUUAGAUCUGUGAGAAGGAACUACAAGACAGUU